UUCCGGUUGAUCCCGCCGGAGGUCACUGCUAUUGGGAUUCGACUAAGCCAUGCGAGUCGAGAGGGUUCGGCCCUCGGCAGACGGCUCAGUAACACGUGGAUAAUCUGCCCUUAGGUGGAGGAUAACCUCGGGAAACUGAGAAUAAUACUCCAUAGAUCUAGGAUGCUGGAAUGCACCUAGGUUGAAAGUUCCGACGCCUAAGGAUGAGUCCGCGGACUAUCAGGUAGUAGCCAGGGUAACGACCUGACUAGCCUACGACGGAUACGGGUUGUGAGAGCAAUAGCCCGGAGACGAUAUCUGAGACACGAUAUCGGGCCCUACGGGGCGCAGCAGGCGCGAAAACUUCACAAUGUGCGAAAGCACGAUGAGGGGAUCCCAAGUGCUGGCUCGUAAGAGUCAGCUGUUUUUCUGUCUAAAAAACAGAGAGAGUAAGAGCUGGGUAAGACGGGUGCCAGCCGCCGCGGUAAUAUCUGCAGCUCAAGUGGUGGCCGCUAUUAUUGGGCCUAAAACGUCCGUAGCCGGUUUAGUAAAUGUCUGGGUAAAUCGUGUAGCUUAACUAUACGAAUUCCGGGUAGACUGCUAAACUUGGGACCGGGAGAUGCUAGAGGUACUCCUGGGGUAGAGGUGAAAUUCUGUAAUCCUAGGGGGACCACCAGUGGCGAAGGCGUCUAGCUAGAACGGGUCUGACGGUGAGGGACGAAGCCCUGGGGCGCAAACCGGAUUAGAUACCCGGGUAGUCCAGGGUGUAAACGCUGCUCGCUUGAUGUUAGUUGGGCUCCGAGCCCAAUUAGUGUCGGAGAGAAGUUGUUAAGCGAGCUGCCUGGGAAGUACGGUCGCAAGACUGAAACUUAAAGGAAUUGGCGGGGGAGCACAGCAACGGGUGGAGCGUGCGGUUUAAUUGGAUUCAACGCCGGGAAUCACUAGUGCGGCCGCCUGCAGGUCGACCAUAU
rnacentral:rRNA from 1 species